ACUUUAGCAUACCUAGUGGCGGAUUCCCCUUUCUUCUAUUCUAGCUCCUCUUUCUGGAGAAAGAAAGUCCAGUUAUAGAAGAGUAGUGCUCGAAGGAAUUCCUUCAGGUUUUCGAGCUAUGUGUUCCAAUUCAUUAAGUAGUUUGAGAUUUACCAAUUCUAACGUCUGCUCGUGAGGGGUUAAUAGUUUCUGGUUGGAGGAGAAAGCAGCCUAGAUAAGAAUAC
rnacentral:lncRNA from 1 species